AUGUAGCGUUUCGAAUUUCUGACCUCAGCUCAGUCGUGAUUACCCGCUGAAUUUAAGCAUAUAACUAAGCGGAGGAAAAGAAACUAACGAGGAUUCCCCCAGUAACGGCGAGUGAACGGGGAAGAGCCCAGCGCUGAAUCCCUCGGCCAUUGGUCGCUGGGAACUGUAGCGUAUAGGUGCGGCUGUCCGCUCGUUUCGCGCACCCAAAGUCCCCUUGAGCGGGGCUACAGUCCAUAGUUGGUGCUAGACCUGUACGGGUGGUGAGGCGCGCGGUAGGUUGUUCCUUGGAGUCGGGUUGCCUGAGAUCGCAGCCCAAAGUUGGUGGUAGAUCUCAUCUAAGGCUAAAUACGGCCACGAGACCGAUAGCAAACAAGUACCGUGAGGGAAAGUUGCAAAGAACUUUGAAGAGAGAGUUCAAGAGGGCGUGAAACCGCUGAGAUUGAAACGGAUAGAGUUGACGGAACUCGAUGGCAUUCAACCGAUCCGAGCGGCGGCCUCGCGGCUCUGCGCCUCGAUGAGGACAGCGACGCGAGUAGCUGCAGCUUGCUGGUGGGUGUAUUUGCCGUCGGUAUGCGCUGAGAGGUUCGCCAGCGUGCGAAGAUGGGCGUGUAGCGGACCAUUCCUUCCGGGCGUGGAACCCUUCGCGCUUUGAGGCGUAUCGUUGGUGAAUUUGAAGUGCUGUCUUCGCUAUGGUGCGUCGUAUGCGGCGCGGCUGUUGCGGCUAUUGGGCGGUCGCGUGCGACUGCUUGUAGUUUGUGACAACCCGCCGUAUUGCUUGAUGCGUCGAGAUGGCAUCUCGGUGUGAACGUUGACCACCUAUCCGACCCGUCUUGAAACACGGACCAAGGAGUCUAGCAUAUGCGCGAGUCAUUGGGUGGUAAAGGUAGAGGCGUAAUGAAAGUAAACGUUGUCUUGAUGCAACUGAUAUGGGAUCCGUGCGUCCUAACGGUAGCGCGGCGCACCAUAGCCCCGUCCCCGUUGCUUGCAAUAGGGCGGAGGUAGAGCGCAUACGCUGGUACCCGAAAGAUGGUGAACUAUGCCUGAGCAGGAUGAAGCCAGAGGAAACUCUGGUGGAGGUCCGAAGCGGUUCUGACGUGCAAAUC
rnacentral:rRNA from 1 species